AUCCCCCCUCCCUCGCCAUCUCCUGAUUUAUUUGGAAAUAAAGGGUGCCUUUCUUUGCAGGAAAACAGGUGGUGCAUGGUUGUUGUCAUCUCGUGUUGUGAGAAGUUGGGGUAAAUUCUCCAAAAAGGGGAACCCCCCUUCCUUUUUGCCCCACCAUUUGGUUGGGCACUUUAGGGAGACUCCGGGGGACAAACCGGGGGAAGGUGGGGGGGACGUCAAAUCCUCAUGCCCCUUAUGUCCAGGGCUACCCCCGUCUUACAAUGGUCGGUACAAAGGGUCGCCAACCCCCGAGGGGGAGCCAAUCCCACAAAACCGAUCGUAGUCCGGAUUGCAGUCUGCAACUCGAGUGCAUGAAGUCGGAAUCGCUAGUAAUCGCGAUCAGCAUGCGUUAGCUGGUUUC
rnacentral:rRNA from 1 species